GACGAACGCUGGCGGCGUGCCUAAUACAUGCAAGUCGAACGCAGUGGGGACGGGUGAGUAACACGUGGGUAACCUCCCAUCAGAGGGGAUAACACUUGGAAACAGGUGCUAAACCGAUACUGAUGGAUGGACCCGCGGUGCAUUAGCUAGUUGGUGAGGUAACGGCUCACCAAGGCCACGAUGCAUAGCCGGCCUGAGAGGAUGAUCGGCCACACUGGGACUGAGACACGGCCCAGACUCCUACGGGAGGCAGCAGUGGGGAAUCUUGGACAAUGGACGAAAGUCUGACCGAGCCACGCCGCGUGUGUGAAGAAGGUUUUCGGGUCGUAAAGCUCUGUUGUUGGAGAAGCGGUAUCUAACCAGGAAGCACCGGCUAACUACGUGCCAGCAGCCGCGGUAAUAC
rnacentral:rRNA from 1 species